GUGCUUACUUUGCAGCACACAUAUCACAAUUGUAAUGAUGCAGAGGGUGAGCAUGGCCCCUGUGCAAGGAUUGCACACACAUUCUUGAAGCAUUCCACAUUAUA